rnacentral:rRNA from 1 species
GACGAACGCUGGCGGCGUGCCUAAUACAUGCAAGUAGAACGCACAGUUUAUACCGUAGCCUGCUACACCAUAGACUGUGAGUUGCGAACGGGUGAGUAACGCGUAGGUAACCUGCCUGGUAGCGGGGGAUAACUAUUGGAAACGAUAGCUAAUACCGCAUAAUAUUAAUUAUUGCAUGAUAAUUAAUUGAAAGGUGCAAUUGCACCACUACCAGAUGGACCUGCGUUGUAUUAGCUAGUAGGUGAGGUAACGGCUCACCUAGGCGACGAUACAUAGCCGACCUGAGAGGGUGAUCGGCCACACUGGGACUGAGACACGGCCCAGACUCCUACGGGAGGCAGCAGUAGGGAAUCUUCGGCAAUGGACGAAAGUCUGACCGAGCAACGCCGCGUGAGUGAAGAAGGUUUUCGGAUCGUAAAGCUCUGUUGUAAGAGAAGAACGGGUGUGAGAGUGGAAAGUUCACACUGUGACGGUAUCUUACCAGAAAGGGACGGCUAACUACGU